UACGAAGGGGGCUAGCGUUGCUCGGAAUCACUGGGCGUAAAGGGUGCGUAGGCGGGGCUUUAAGGCAGGGGUGAAAUCCUGGAGCUCAACUCCAGAACUGCCUUUGAUACUGAAGAUCUUGAGUUCGGGAGAGGUGAGUGGAACUGCGAGUGUAGAGGUGAAAUUCGUAGAUAUUCGGAAGAACACCAGUGGCGAAGGCGGCUCACUGGACUGGUAUUGACGCUGAGGUGCGAAAGCGUGGGGAGCAAACAGG
rnacentral:rRNA from 1 species